GCGGCGCGGGACCCGGAAGUGGCUCCGGCAGGGGCUCUGCAGCCAGGGGGCCCGGCGCGGCGCGGCGCAGGCCCGGUGCUCACGCGGAGUUGGCCGGGGCCCGUUGCGUCUCUGCGGCCCCGAGGAAACAGUCCUGGGUCCAUGGGCCGGGCCGAGCGGGCGUCUGCAGAAACGCAGGGACCCGGAUGGAGCCGCGGGCCGCGAGACCCUGCGGGGACACAGCUCCGCCGAGUCGCGUUUGAGUGGCACCGCCAUGGCCGGGGUCCCGGCCGGGGCGAGCUCCAGGCCAAGGCCGGCCUUAAAUAGGGCCGCUCUGGCCCCUGCACCCCGUGGAGGAGCCGGGCGGAGGGAGAGGGCGAGGCCGACGCCUCCCCCCAGGGUCAGCUGCGGGCUCCCAGGCCUAGGCGCCCAUGACCCCUACGCCAACAGCCGCCUGGACACCGCCGCCGCCACUGCGACCUAGCGCCGCCGCCGCCGGGGCCCAAUGCCGGUCAUGCCCAUUCCGCGGCGGGUGCGCUCCUUCCACGGCCCGCACACCACCUGCCUGCAUGCGGCCUGCGGGCCCGUGCGCGCCUCCCACC
rnacentral:lncRNA from 1 species